rnacentral:rRNA from 2 species
AGACCUCUAAUCGGAAAAGACUACC